rnacentral:rRNA from 1 species
GACGUAGGGCGCAAGCGUUGUCCGGAUUUAUUGGGCGUAAAGAGCUCGUAGGCGGCUCGUUGCGUCGGCUGUGAAAACUCACAGCUUAACUGUGGGCGUGCGGGCGAUACGGGCAGACUGGAGUACUGCAGGGGAGACUGGAAUUCCUGGUGUAGCGGUGGAAUGACGCAGAUAUCAGGAGGAACACCGGUGGCGAAGGCGGGUCUCUGGGCAGUAACUGACGCUGAGGAGCGAAAGCGUGGGGAGCGAACAGG